rnacentral:rRNA from 1 species
GAUGAACGCUAGCUACAGGCUUAACACAUGCAAGUCGCGGGGCAGCAUGGGGGUUGCUUGCAAUCCCCGAUGGCGACCGGCGCACGGGUGAGUAACGCGUAUCCAACCUGCCCUUCACCACGGGAUAACCCGGCGAAAGUCGGACUAAUACCGUAUGUUGUCCAUUGACGGCAUCCGAUUUGGACGAAAGGUUUGGCGGUGAAGGAUGGGGAUGCGUCCGAUUAGCUGGACGGCGGGGUGACGGCCCACCGUGGCGACGAUCGGUAGGGGUUCUGAGAGGAAGGUCCCCCACACUGGAACUGAGACACGGUCCAGACGCCUACGGGAGGCAGCAGUGAGGAAUAGUGGUCAAUGGGCGUAAGCCUGAACCAGCCAAGUAGCGUGCAGGAUGACGGCCCUAUGGGUUGUAAACUGCCUUUAUGCGGGGAUAAAGUGGCCCACGUGUGGGUUUUUGCAGGUACCGCAUGAAUAAGGACCGGCUAAUUCCGUG